AACGAACGCUGGCGGCAGGCCUAACACAUGCAAGUCGAGCGAGGACUUCGGUCCUACUGGCGGACGGGUGAGUAACGCGUGGGAACGUGCCCUUUGCUUCGGAAUAGCUCUGGGAAACUGGGAGUAAUAUCGGAUGAGCCCCUCGGGGGAAAGAUACGUCGACGAAGGAUCGGCCUGCGUUGGCUUAGGCAGUUGGUGGGGUAAUGGCCUACCAAGCGAUCGAUGCAUAGCUGGGUAGAGAGGAUGAUCAGCGACACUGGGGAUGGGACGCAGCCCAGACUACUACGGGAGGGAGGAGUGGAGGAUCAUGCACAAUCGCGGAAACCAUGAUGGAGCCAUGCGGGGUGAGCGAUUAAGUCGUGAGGGAUGUAAAGCUGUUUCAUAUGGGAGGGUGAUGACGGUACCAGCAGAAGAAGCCCCGGCUAACUACGUG
rnacentral:rRNA from 1 species